UCCCUGGUGGUCCAGUGGUUAGGACUUGUCACUUUUACUGUGGUGGCCUGGGUUCAGUCCCUGGUCAGGGAA
rnacentral:tRNA from 1 species